UACGUAGGGUGCAAGCGUUAUCCGGAAUUAUUGGGCGUAAAGAGCUCGUAGGCGGUUUGUCGCGUCUGCUGUGAAAACCGGAGGCUCAACCUCCGGCCUGCAGUGGGUACGGGCGAACUAGAGUGCGGUAGGGGAGAUUGGAAUUCCUGGUGUAGCGGUGGAAUGCGCAGAUAUCAGGAGGAACACCGAUGGCGAAGGCAGAUCUCUGGGCCGUAACUGACGCUGAGGAGCGAAAGCGUGGGGAGCGAACAGG
rnacentral:rRNA from 1 species